AUUGAACGCUGGCGGCACGCCUAACACAUGCAAGUCGAGCGGCAGCGAGACUAGUAGCAAUACUAGUUGUCGGCGAGCGGCGGACGGGUGAGUAACACGUAGGAAUCUGCCCUUAAGCGGGGGAUAACCAAGGGAAACUUUGGCUAAUACCGCAUAAUCUCGAGAGAGCAAAGCUGCCCGCAAGGGUGGCACUUGAGGAGGAGCCUGCGUCCGAUUAGCUAGUUGGUGGGGUAAUGGCCUACCAAGGCGAUGAUCGGUAACUGGUCUGAGAGGACGACCAGCCACAAUGGGACGGGGACACGGCCCAGACUCCUACGGGAGGCAGCAGUGGGGAAUAUUGGACAAUGGGGGCAACCCUGAUCCAGCGAUGCCGCGUGAGUGAAGAAGGCCUUCGGGUCGUAAAGCUCUUUAGGUUGGGAAGAAGUGUAUUGGCUGAAUAAUCCAGUACAUUGACGGUACCGACAGAAUAAGCACCGGCAAACUCUGUGCCAGCAGCCGCGGUAAAAC
rnacentral:rRNA from 1 species